AAAAAAAGUGUUCUUCUUCAAAGUGAUUUUAUAGAAUCUAACAUGCUAGGCACAUUAGCGCAAACUAAAAAAAAUUUAAACAAAAAAGUCGAUAGCUUUCGGUUAGCGGAAAAGCUCGUCGUUCGGACCAAUACAGCAGAAAAUUUGAAAUCAACUAAAUUUCAGAGGAAUAUGUUACUUAAACCGAACAACAAUUCAAAACAAGAAGUAACAACCGGGUUGCAGAACCCAGCAAGUGAUAAGACAAAUCAAAUGAAAAAUCAUAUUAAAAUGGGUUUUCGUCGGGAUCCACCUAUAAUCAAAAAUUCCAAUCUGUCAAAAGUUGGCCUGAGCAGUAAAGCUAAGCAAGUAUUGAAUCCCUACACGAACAAAAGCAAAGCCUCUCUUUACAAAGUUCAACCGCGUAAAGUAUCACCAAGGCCUUCACUCAGCUUUAACUCAUUAAAAUAUCUUUUUCCGGACCAACGAAAAAAGAAAUCCUAUACAAAUGUCUCGGCUGCUUUAAAGCCCCAAUACGCACAUAAACAAAGUAGUGACGGACCCCAAAAAGAAAACGACAAUAUACCAGAUUUAAAGGAAAAUCAAACAAAUCCAAUGCCAUCAAUUGACGCAACCAAGCAGUACGACGAGAAAAAUCAUAAGGCACAAGUUAUUAGUGUAGGAGAAGGGGAAAUCGAAACCCCUCGGGUAUCCGUUAAAGCGGACCAGGAACGAACUAAUAUAACUUUAACACGGGAUUUGGAAAGAUUUAAAACAAGCUGUUUGUUUUGUAUUCCGCCUGCGAUGAGUGGAGAUGAAAUGAAAAAGAAUUCUGCACUACUUGAAAAGACGAAUGCUUGCAAAGAAAAUACUUUAAAGGAUAUUAAUGUUCAAAUUAUUGAUUUUACACAUAUUUUUAAACGACCGUCAAAGAUUGAAAUAUUGUUUGGCGAUUCAGGCCCUGGGACAUUUUUUUUUCAUCGUUAAAAAAGAAGGUUUAGAAAUUGUGUUUUUGUUCAAUAGUGGUCACGCUUCACGUUUUGUAAAUAUUGUAAAACAACAUGGUUCAUUGAAAAUAGACAAUGACAUUACCUUUAGCGAGGGUGAUCCCUUGGCACCAUUUACGGAAGACUUGUUAAUGAUUUCUUACAUAAAUUUUUUUUAUUAAAAAAACAGGUAAAUCGUGAUAGGAAAAUAAGCUAGGAUUGUAUAUAUUGUAAGGCUGACAAAAUAUUUUGUUCGUCAUUCACACGAAUGAAAAACAUUGCUUUAAAAAAACCUUAUUACCAUGUACACCAUUUGCCUAUUCUUGUUUCUAAAAACCUUGUAGUCAAAUUUUUGUUAACAGCUGUUUCUAGUUUCUUCUACAAACUAUAAAACACUAAAGAAUACGGAAAGAUUAAAAAACUUACAAACUAAAGGAAUUGAAAUGGACUUGUACUACACACUAUUGAAAAUAAUGUUAGUACUAUUUCAAAACGCUUUAGAGGUUUACUUGGUUGUUGCAC